rnacentral:rRNA from 1 species
GACGAACGCUGGCGGCGUGCUUAACACAUGCAAGUCGAACGGAAAGGCCCUGCUUUUGUGGGGUGCUCGAGUGGCGAACGGGUGAGUAACACGUGAGUAACCUGCCCUUGACUUUGGGAUAACUUCAGGAAACUGGGGCUAAUACCGGAUAGGAGCUCCUGCUGCAUGGUGGGGGUUGGAAAGUUUCGGCGGUUGGGGAUGGACUCGCGGCUUAUCAGCUUGUUGGUGGGGUAGUGGCUUACCAAGGCUUUGACGGGUAGCCGGCCUGAGAGGGUGACCGGCCACAUUGGGACUGAGAUACGGCCCAGACUCCUACGGGAGGCAGCAGUGGGGAAUAUUGCACAAUGGGCGGAAGCCUGAUGCAGCAACGCCGCGUGCGGGAUGACGGUCUUCGGGUUGUAAACCGCUUUCGCCUGUGACGAAGCGUGAGUGACGGUAAUGGGUAAAGAAGCACCGGCUAACUACGUGCCAGCAGCCGCGGUGAUACGUAGGGUGCGAGCGUUGUCCGGAUUUAUUGGGCGUAGAGGGCUCGUAGGUGGUUGAUCGCGUCGGAAGUGUAAUCUUGGGGCUUAACCCUGAGCGUGCUUUCGAUACGGGUUGACUUGAGGAAGGUAGGGGAGAAUGGAAUUCCUGGUGGAGCGGUGGAAUGCGCAGAUAUCAGGAGGAACACCAGUGACGAAGGCGGUUCUCUGGGCCUUUCCUGACGCUGAGGAGCGAAAGCGUGGGGAGCGAACAGGCUUAGAUACCCUGGUAGUCCACGCUGUAAACGGUGGGUACUAGGUGUGGGGUCCAUUCCACGGGUUCCGUGCCGUAGCUAACGCUUUAAGUACCCCGCCUGGGGAGUACGGCCGCAAGGCUAAAACUCAAAGGAAUUGACGGGGCCCCGCACAAGCGGCGGAGCAUGCGGAUUAAUUCGAUGCAACGCGUAGAACCUUACCUGGGUUUGACAUGGAUCGGGAGCGCUCAGAGAUGGGUGUGCCUCUUUUGGGGUCGGUUCACAGGUGGUGCAUGGCUGUCGUCAGCUCGUGUCGUGAGAUGUUGGGUUAAGUCCCGCAACGAGCGCAACCCUUGUUCACUGUUGCCAGCACGUUAUGGUGGGGACUCAGUGGAGACCGCCGGGGUCAACUCGGAGGAAGGUGGGGAUGACGUCAAGUCAUCAUGCCCCUUAUGUCCAGGGCUUCACGCAUGCUACAAUGGCUGGUACAGAGAGUGGCGAGCCUGUGAGGGUGAGCGAAUCUCGGAAAGCCGGUCUCAGUUCGGAUUGGGGUCUGCAACUCGACCUCAUGAAGUCGGAGUCGCUAGUAAUCGCAGAUCAGCAACGCUGCGGUGAAUACGUUCCCGGGGCU